AGACGAGAACCGGUUGUGCCAUACCUGGCAAGUAUUCUAACUAAACGAACUAGAUCGACCAUGACCGUAGAUUUCCUCUAUAGCUAUUUCUCCAACGGCGUAGAUCCACCAACAGAUAACAAGCGCGAUCCACUAAAGCUGCCUGCGGGCCGAGGCUUAGAUAAAAUAAUGGCUCUUCUUCCACGCGAGAUCGGCGACGUAACGUUUCCUUCUGAAGGUGAACGAUCGGUAAAACUUCUUCUUAAACGCCGUCGAGGAAGCGCCGCAAGUCGAUGUAGGACACGCCGCCGGGGAAGCCGGAGGCGUUGCAAGGAGGUCGCCGUGGUACUUGAGACCCACCACGUCCACCCGGAAACAGUGGACCUUUAGCUUGACGGAGGUCGAGGGAGAGGAGCCGACACGGCGGAGAGAUGGCAGGCGGUGAGGAAGAGCAGGUGCCAGUGGGGUAGAUCACUGCGAAGCCCAAGUCCGACGACGGCGGGGGAGGGUGGCGGAGGUAGAAGCUCUCUUCGAUUUCUUCCCCCCAAGCCUCCCGGUCUCUUCCCUAGAACCCAAUGCCCCCAACCUCUGGCCGGCCGCCACCAUCAGCACCGGCGACCGCCGCGACCUCCAAGCUCAAACGUCAUAAAAUUUCAACGCCCACCCAACCCGGAAGCUUUCUUUCGGAUGCCUCGGAGGUUGCAGACUUCGGCCUUACAGAGUCUUUUGAGGUAGAGGAGGGCCUUCUUGCACAGUGCAGAGAGGGUAAAUUUAGGUAGGGAUCCAACUCUAAUAUUUUUGGUUCGGGUUCGGGUUUGUUUAGUUUGUUGCCAGAGCGCAACGAGACCCCUGCCGCCCAAAUCAGAGACUCUGCUAUUCUCACCCGACCCAACCUCGACGCCUUGAUCGGCUCUUGCGUCGCGUAGAAAGUUGGGAGCUUUUCUUCGUUGCUUCCCUCCAUUAAUUCGCUCCUCGCAUACGUCCACCGCUUCAAUUUGUGCGCAGAAUUUCUAAUCUGGCAUGGCUUCGGUAAAGACGACGCCAAUCGCUCGUCCAAAUCCCCAUCCGGGCAGGGACCUUGUCCCCCAAUUUGUCCUUUUUUUUUUGUUUUUUCCCCUGAAUCUUUUCAUCUCUCUCCUUUUUUUUUAAUGCAGAUCUAAGAACCCAUAGAAAGAUCCCGAUGACGGCCGCCAACGAGUUCUUCUCAACUUGGAGUUCGUUCGGUGCCUGGCAAACCCUACCUACAUCCACUGUACCUUUGGAGUGCAGUCUGGCUCCUUAUAUCAUCCCUGUCCGGAAAAGUUGGAAUUCUAUUUUUGGAAUGCGAAUGAGCAGAGCGCAAGGGUUCUUGAGGACAAGAUUCAGAGCUUAUGCAGGACAGCGCAGCAUCAUGCGGCACAUCAUGUGGAAGAGUUUUUUGGGCGGAUCAGGAAUCGACUUCUACUCCUCUUCGCUAUGUACUUUUUUCUGAUUUUAUUGGGUGCGCUCACACAGCUAGCGUAAGUAACCGCUGUAGCAAAAAAAAAAAGAAUAACGUAAGAGAACUUGAGUUUCGAGACUAGAUGCUCCAUCCUUUUUGGAAUACUCACUAUUGCUCCCAAAUUUUUGUUUAUUCUUUCCAUCUCUUUGGCAAUUGGCAUGGCAUAUUUGUGAUUAUUUGGACUCCAAAUAGGAUAUGCAUUUUCUAAACAAUACCUUAUGUUUUCCCAUUUUUGGUAGUUGAAUCUUGAUAAAAGCAGGGACUGAGCUUUUGCCUGCUAGUCUGAAACUGAAAGAACCAAGGGGAGCUUCAAGGAAGGGCCUUCAAUUCAUCAACACGGUACGACCCCUGUUGCAGGAAUUUAGAAAGCAUCUACUUCCCAAAUUCUCACGAGGACCUGUAACAGUGUACGAGAGGUAGGUAUUUGGUGAGCAGGUACAAAUUGUGUUUCUGUAGCAGUGCAUCGAGAUGCAUGCUUGAUGAAUGAGGUCAAUAGAAAGGAGCAAUUGUGAUUGGUGGUGUAGGAAAUAAUUUUUCCUCAACCAGAAUGUAGAGAACCAAGUGUUCCCAACUUAGUGUCUUUCACUCACUCUUUUCUUUAUUUUUUUUGUUUUUGUUUUUGUUUUUUUUUAUUUUUUGCUUCCUUUCCGGACAGUGAGAGAUAUCAGGUUCUUCAGUGUAGGGCGGUCAAGCAAGCAAGCCGCUACUGAUGAACCUCUGUUACUUGAUAUAAGCAUGCUCCACGGUCGAGUAAAUGAGCCAAGCUCAAAGUCAGGUUGUUUAACUUAAUGCAUAUAAAUAUGUUUAAAUACUAUGUACAUAUACGUAUAUAUAAAGUCUUUUUAAUCAUA